rnacentral:rRNA from 1 species
CCUGGCUCAGGAUGAACGCUAGCGAUAGGCUUAACACAUGCAAGUCGCGGGGCAGCAUGGGGGUUGCUUGCAACCCCUGAUGGCGACCGGCGCACGGGUGAGUAACGCGUAUCCAACCUGCCCUUCACCACGGGAUAACCCGGCGAAAGUCGGACUAAUACCGUAUGUUGUCCAUUUUCGGCAUCCGAUUUGGACUAAAGGCUUAGCGGUGAGGGAUGGGGAUGCGUCCGAUUAGCUCGACGGCGAGGUAACGGCCCACCGUGGCAACGAUCGGUAGGGGUUCUGAGAGGAAGGUCCCCCACACUGGAACUGAGACACGGUCCAGACUCCUACGG